AGUACGGUCUUUCUUCGUCUGAGAAGGAGAGGUUAUGGUCCACAAACUGAAAGAAGUAUUCCAGGGCAGAGGCAACCUACACCCGGCUGGCUCUGGGUUUCCUUGUGAGUGAUCCUGUCCGUGGCAUUAGUACCACCUAGUGGACUUCGCAGGAAGAACUGCAUGUUGAAACCAUGCGGACAGUCAUUUACCAGAGCGGCGGCGGUGAGCGCAGCAGAAGGGCCAGGGUCCUCCGAGCGAAUCAGCAUGAAAGAAACCAUAAUAAUGAGUAAACUCAAAGCUUGAAGCAUAAACUCAAAGCUUCAGGGGGACAAUGAGACAGAGGCAGGGGCGCUGGUCUUGCUUUCUCAGGCCGCCCAGUUCUGUUUGACUGAGCCUGUGGUCCGAGCGGAUGGAAUCCGCCCCUCCAGCACGGGGAGGCCCCCAGAGCCCAAAGACAAGGAAAGCCACCAGUCAUAUUGAAGCGUCCAGCCUUCUUUCUUUAAGCCUCAUGAGAAAUUAGGUGGGUGGUAAUCCCAAAUCAAUGUUUGUGGCUGUGCUUAUCCUGUUUCACAAGCCUAACAUCUGUGUUUAUAUUGUUUAAAAUCUAUUAAAUUGUGUGGAAUAUUUUCCCUUCAUUUAAAAAAAAAUUACUUCCCAUCCCUUUUAUUUUUGGAAAAGGUCACACUCUGUUUCCGUUUCCAAACUAUGCUGACCCACAUGAUCUUCCUAACAAAAGUGUUUUCCUAAAACUCACUUGCUUGAGGAAACCUGUUCCUCUGCAAGGGCCCCCUCCCACACCUUAGCAUCGAUUUCCCCCCAGACUCAUUUGCAUUUGCUGUUGUUUCUCUCUGCUAUUUCAUAGGCCUGUGUGUCCUGUUUUUUUCUGUGCUUUUCCUUAAAGGCUCAGUACAGGCCCCACAUAACACAUCGGCUGUGAGUACUAGGCUUACCUUGAUACUCUGAAUCUCCCUACUCUGUCCACAGCAUUUUUGCUGUUGCUGUAAUUGCCAGGAGAGCAGGGAAGUAAUCUGGUGUAAUAUUCAGCUUUUGAGUACUUGCUUCGUGUCAGUAUUUUGACAGUAUUACUGCUAAGCCAACUGGGAAGGUGAAUUUUGGGGAUACCUCUGCAUACUAAAUAAAAGCUCCAAAUCUUAGAAAGUCAUUAGAGAUACAAAAGCACUCCCUUGAACACGCACAAAAGAUCGGGGAUUUCCAGGUCUUCAUUGCAUUUUUAAUGGCCACUUUCAGGAAAGGCACUUCCAAGUUUGAGAUUUUCCAGUUAUAAGAUGAUCUGGGUCUGAAAGAGCGUAGAUGGGACAGUCAGAUUUCUCACUGCUCGGCUGUGUGCUUCAUCUGCUCUUCCCGCCCUUAAAACAUCCAUUGUUCAGAAUGGGGGAAGCCCAGCAGUGUUGCUGGGUGGCAUUUGAGAGAGGGAGUGGAGUUGUCAUGCUAUAAACAGAUAUAGCAUUGAUCCUACAGAGCAAAAAGAUAGGGAAAGGGAGGGAGAGGAACCCAGUUGGACAUUAUGUCAUGCCAAAGAGAAUUCCAAGGAUGGUUAAGAAUGGCAACCAGAGGCCCUUGAAACUCCCAGGAGGCCAGCAGACUUCACUAGGCAGAAACCCAAGAAAAAAGUUACCCCCAUUUGUCGCUAAGAAUGGCGGAUGUCAAGGGGAAUGGGAACAAAGGGGAAUUUCUAGGGUCCUUGUAAGCUUAAAAGUCCUAUUAAGUGAAGUUACUUGAGAUCAGCCUGGAAUAUCUUAAUCUGGACUUCCCCAACGGCCAGUUUUAAAUCUUGUUUACAACUCAGGUCAGAAUUAAAAUGGAAAACAGCCUUCGAUGACUUCCAGACAAGGAACUUUGGAAAAAAUUAAUUUUACAGUAACAUCAAAAUGUCUGUUAUAGCUUGUGCAACAAAGCUAUACAAAAAAUCUGUACAAAAAAUAAAAAAAUUAACUGGGCGUGGUGGUGGGCGCCUGUAAUCCCAGCUACUUGGGAGGCUGAGGCAGGAGGAUUGCUUGAGCCCAGGAGUGUGAGGCUGCAGCAAGCUGGGAUUGUGCCACUGCACUCCAACCUGGGGGACACAGCAAGACCCUGUUUCUAAACAAAACACACAAAAAAGUGUUCAUUAGGCCCUUGUCUUCUGCACACCCAUCACUCUCGGGAAAGAAGCUGGUCUGAGCUAAGGUCCAAGAGCAGCUGGGCCUAGGGCCUGGCAAUUCAUUUCAGCAGUACGGAGACUGUCACAUCCCAUUCCCAGGCUCUGCUUCUCCAGACUCCAGCAAAGGUAGUUGUGGCCUGUGUCUCAGAAGAGGGGUGCAGGAAGGAUCAGAAAUCAGGUGGGAGCCACGAAGAACAGCAGGCAGGAGCCAGGAAAGCUGCAGGGGCAGGGUUCCCAGAGACUCCCUAGACUCUGGAGAUGGCACCGCAGGCUUCUGGUACCUCUCAUGCCAGGAGAUGCUUCCUCACAGCCCAGAAUGAGUAGCUGGCAACAAUCAGGGACGAUCCUCUGAGGACCAGUCAUAGUGUCUGUGAUGUACCCACCUUCUGAAGGUGGACUGAGGCUUCUAGCUUAUAAGCUGGCUGCAUAGGCACCCCUCGUCCCCUAGCAAUGUCAACAAUGACUUGUACCGCCAUAACACAGAGGCACAUGUAGAUUCCAUUCCAGGUUAGAAUGUGUCUUUUAUGCCACUGCCAAAUGUUGCAGCGGCAUGAAACAGUUCUGACAUGAGACAAGUGUAUUCCAUUCUGAGGACUGCUGGUUUAUAAAUAAGUCAAAAACGGCCAGAUAAUUUAGGUCAAGGUGAGUUUAUUGUCCAAAUAGCAUAACCUAAUUGCAUUCAAAACCAUUUUCAAAUCCAUCUUUAAACUAGUCAGAAAACAGGUUAUUAUUUUUUUAAAUCACUUAACACUGAACAGAUAAGACCUCUUAAAAGGCAGCUGACUAUAUCAUGUCACCAUCAUAGCCAAUACAACAUUUUUGCCAUACUUCCUAAAAACCUUUUCGCAUACACUGAUCAUGCUACUUAUCAGCACUUUCUAACAUCCUGACCAAACAGACACCCACACCUCUUAUAGAGUACACUGUGAGAGAAUAACAUGGACUUGAUAUGGCAUCACACUUGUUUUAAAGCAAAAAAAAAAAGAAAAAGAAAAGAAAAAAAAAAGUCCAAGACAAGAAACUACAUAACUGAGAGAGAGGAGAGAGAGAGAGAUCUGAGGUACAUGAUAUAAGGGUGAUGAACAUAAUGGAAAAAAUCCAAUGGCCCGAUGAUUUGCUGGGGAUGUAAGAGUUGGCCAGCAGUUAAGAACUAAACCAAUUAAAAAUAAAAAUAGAAACUUUGUUUUUCAAGGACAGGCACCUGUCAAAAGACAUUGGAUACUGUAAUGGCUACAGUCAGUAAGGCACUUUAUUUCCCCAAAGUAGGCUGCAGGCGAAGGGAUGCAGGCUGCAGCUACAGCAUGCACGUACACAUUUGCUGAUGGCUUCUCAAAACCUGAGCCGAGAAUAGGGUCUGAUAGCCCAGCCAAGUUUAAAAGCAGACACACACGAAUGUAGUAUCGUUGUGCCUGAAAUGACCAUUCUGGGUUGUUUAGAAUCCAGAAUCAUCAAAAGCCAUGUGGUAUGAGGAAGUAAUAAAUAUCCUCUUGAAUCUUCUUACCCUAUUUUGCACAAAUGGAUGGCUGCAUGAACAGCUCUUGUAAAUUGCUCUGAGUCCACACCAAUAGAAACCUGCACUCAUUCUAUAGCUACAGAGGGUUUGUUGGCUUAAGGGGACUUUAUCAUCUCAGCAUUAAUUUCCCUUUUAAAGCUAUUCUCAAGGUUGGACUGUCUCAGAGAUAAACAAAGAGGAAUCCUUUUGGCUUAGAAGCCAACUGGCUUACUCAGACUUCCUCCCCUUCCUACCUCCAAUUCCCACACUACCAAUAUUAUCUUCUUGAACUAGAAAAUCAAUUAUUUACAUGACAUAAGGUGCAAGUCUAUUUCUUCUCCCAGCCCUGUCCCCUGUGGCCCAUGGAGAGAAAAUUCCCCUGCCCUCUUGGAGAGAGUCAUCUGAUCCUGCCUUAUGUUCUUAACCUUUCAGUCCCAGAGCUCCCAGGGCACAGUCUGGAGAGGCCCUAGAGGUGCUAGACUGCAGGGAAGCGCAGCUCCGUCUGAAGAGUUGCCAAUCCUGCUAGCAAUGGGAUGCAGCGUGAUGCUGUCAGGGUUGUCUUCUCCUCUGGCUUUGUCACUUAAGCCAUGUGUGCCCCUGACCUGGCUGAUAAGAGGCAGAACAGAGCCUCCAGUACAGAGCACAUAGACCAAGGAUGACCCAGUAGUAAGGCAUGCUGUGCUCUCCAGUGGGGUCCUGAGGCAGUUCAAAAUAAGGCCUCCUGGAAGAACAGCCCCUUCUUCAAGGAGCUCGCCUCUCAGCACGCAUGGGGUGUUCUGCGGAGGGAACUGCCCUUGGCUUUCUCCUGCAGGCUUCUUGGCUGUUAUGGACCCGCAUGGAGUUUAAUUAUGCUUAGCAUAUAUUUUUGGCAUACUAGGAUUUCUUCCCCCUAGGAUUUGGCCAAAAGAGGGGAAGGAUCAAAAUUUGGCAGGCUGGGGGAACAACUCGGCCCCCACUGAUGGAGAAAAAAACAAACAGAUGGAAGUAAAGACGAGAUAGAAACACAACAAGGUAGAAAAAGACCAGGAUAAUUUGGAACCCCUUUAGUGGGAGGUAAGAAAAAGAAGAGAAAGAACAACAACAACAAAAAGAGCAAGUUCAAAUCCAAGGGGGAGAGCUCCUCUGGAACAAAACUCCUACCAAAGAGACUAAGAGCUAAGGAGAGGGCAAAAUCCAGGAUUCCUUCUUGUGUUUAAGCAGGAGCAGGCAGAAAAGCCUAACAACCCCCGACUUUCCCAUCGGCAGCCCCACACCCAUCAUCACACAAGGCCCCAAGGAUGGGAAAGAGAAAAGCUAGAAGGACCCAGGGGCCUCGGGACUACAGGAAGAGUGGAAAGUUACAGACUGUAAAUAGAGUCGGGUAGGCUUGUGCCCUUCCUUAUUUGUCCGGUUCUUUCAUUUGCUGCUUCUGUUUAAGCUCAAGGGUCAGUCACCAUGAAAUGAAUUUGCACCUCGGUUUCUCUUUAGGCUCCAAGAUUCCCAAGAACUCCAGGGUUCCCGCUUUCCCCAUUCCGUGGGACUCCUUGGGGCCCAGGAGAGUGUGCUGAGCAAAGCUGGCUCUUGAGAAAACUCUGGCUAGCUUACUUGCUGGCUGCUCCACUUCCCUCUCCAAAACUUCAGAAUUCACCACCCAUUGUCCCACCAGAAAUCCCCUAGAAUUUUAGGGUCAUGCUAACUCACAAAGUCCUGAACCCUUCUAAACACACUUCCCAAGAGACUGACUCAUCUGGAAUUUCACCUCUGUAGAGAAGCAGCCUCUUCACCUCCCUUCAACUAUCAUCCCAUACUUAUCUGACCUAUUUUUCUUAUCCUGCCAAUUCAGUGUGAUUGAAAACCCGACCGUUUAGUACCGCUCAGCAGAGGGCCUGGGCUUGCAUAGUGCUUGCCUGCGCAGUUUGAGACAGAGGAGGGAGAAGGAAGCACCAUAAACGCUGCUUGCUGCAGGUUCAUCUACUCGCAGAUUCAGACCUAGGAAACCUGCAGAGAUGAUCCUAAACACAAGGUGUCCAUGCCAGGGGAGGGGAAAGACGGAGGGGAAAAACUUCAAGAUGAAAGGGCCCUUUGCAGAUGAAGCCCCGCUUUUGAAAAAGCUCCAAGAUGAGGAUCUCCAAACAGCCUGGUGGAAUUCUUUUUAGUCUGUUUCCUGACACCUGGUACCUAAGUGCAAAUUACGACAUCUGAGCCUACCGCAUAAAUGUUUGUACUGAACGUCUGCCUUGAAGGGGAGGGAGGAUCCCUUGGUUCAAUGUAUUUUUUCCAUCAUGAUGAGGAUACCAGGGUCUAACUGGGAGCCCGAUGGCCUCCAUGACCAAAAAGGUCCCUGGGAGUGAGACCGCCCUGCCUUCCACCUGAGAGGGAGUCAGCCCUGCUCACACUGCUUCUGUAUUCCUCAUGCGAAUGGGCUCCCAAGCAGAAACUGUACGGUUGUGAGGUAUUAUGAAAACAAAAGCGUGAAUCAUUGCCUUUUGUAGUUAUUGAUUUUGUCCAGUAAACCUGAGGUAAAGAAUACUCCGUCUUUGAAGAAUGUGAUCAGAGGAAAAAAAAAAAACCAAAAAACCAAAAAAGAAAAAAAAAAACAACCAUGAAUAUGCUACCAGAAGAAAACAAACUACGGAAGGGCUUUUCCAGUACGAAGAACUCAUAUCUCAACCAUCUACUUCAGGACUUGGAAUUUAAGCAGUAAAAUAAUAUAUUAUAAAAAUGUUUAUAAAAUAGCAGCACACUCUGUGAAACAUUACAGCUAGGUACUGUCAACGUGAAUAAGGAUGGAUGACUUUAGCUUCUUAGCAGCGCAAAAAAAAAAAAAAACCAAACUGAACAAAACAAAAUUAAAAAAAUGAGAGACCCUUAGAUUGUUUUCCGUCUUCAACCCUCAUACUAUGAAACAAGGCAGAAUCUGUGUAUAAAAUAAUUCUUCAAAUAGCCCUGUUCUGAUUUUUCUUUUUUACUUAAAAAGGCAAAUAUUUUAACAAAUAGCUUCAUUACCUGUCAAUUACAAUUGUGCAAAAAAAAAAAAAAAAGUUGUUGCUCCAACCUCUUUGCUAACUGAAUGCCUCUAAGAAGUGGAGAGGAAGAAAAAUUCAAGUACGCUGAAUACAACUUUGCAAUAAAAUUAACAACAACAAUAAAAAAAAAAAAACGGAAAAGGGAACAAAAUGCCACACCCUGAUGUUCAGCCAUCUAUCUUUGCACCAGCAAUAACUUUUCUUUCCAUGUCCAAAGGAGAAGUAUAGAGAUGGGAAUUAAGAUCCUUCUGUGCCAUCAGAAUGGUAACAGAUUUUAGUUUACAGGCUUGUCUGAGGAAUGUUGUGAUGGGAAUGUCAGCAGGAAGGGGUGUCUCUUGAGUCCUGGUAGGAACACCAGAACUGUGUACCAAAGAACGCCAGAUACCAGAAGCGAAGAGUAACCCAGACUGGGGGCAGGAAGGGAGGGGGCAAAAGAGAAGAGGGGAGGAGUAUUCAGCAUGACUUGCAUAAACCAUCCCAUCUAUCGCUCGGGAACAAUUUUUCAAAGUGCUUUUCGAAUGGAAUGGUUUAUAACAAUGCUAAACUGUGAACCAGACAUGCCAAUCAGCACCAAAAAUUAGUUUUUUUCUAAGAAGAAAUGCCAAGGCCACAUUACCCUUUUAAAUACAAUAACAGAAAAGACUCCAUUCUGGAUCCCACCCUUGGUCUCCAUCUGCCUCCGUUUCAUGUGAGUUUUGGUUAUGGCCCAUAGCUACAUUUCCCCAUUAGAUAGCAAUAUGGUGGUGUCUGCAAUGAACUGCAUUUGGAAGAAGAAGCAGGAUGUCACAGAACAUGAAACCCAGGAGCCAAUCACCUGUGUCCAACUGGCAAAAUAAAACAUCUUUUUUUAGGUAGCAGCUACUGUAGACAGCAAGAGGACAUUAAUGUAGAGAUCCAACUACACUCCUGACUUAGUAACAGGUGGCUGAGAGCAAAGGUGCUUCUCCAUCCCAAAUGGUUCAAUCAUGUUGAGAGAUUGUUUUGUACUCCUUCCCCAUCAUGUCCCUCCUUAUUUCAAUUCCUUCUUGAGUUCAUUGCUUUGCAAUCUAAUCAUGCCAUAAAUGGC
rnacentral:lncRNA from 1 species